rnacentral:rRNA from 1 species
GACGAACGCUGGCGGCGUGCUUAACACAUGCAAGUCGAGCGGUAAGGCCUUUCGGGGUACACGAGCGGCGAACGGGUGAGUAACACGUGGGUGAUCUGCCCUGCACUUCGGGAUAAGCCUGGGAAACUGGGUCUAAUACCGGAUAUGACCUCCUAUCGCAUGGUGGGUGGGGGAAAGAGUUAUCGGUGCAGGAUGGGCCCGCGGCCUAUCAGCUUGUUGGUGGGGUAAUGGCCUACCAAGGCGACGACGGGUAGCCGACCUGAGAGGGUGACCGGCCACACUGGGACUGAGACACGGCCCAGACUCCUACGGUAGGCAGCAGUGGGGAAUAUUGCACAAUGGGCGAACGCCUGAUGCAGCGACGCCGCGUGAGGGAUGACGGCCUUCGGGUUGUAAACCUCUUUCAGCAGGGACGAAGCGCAAGUGACGGUACCUGCAGAAGAAGCACCGGCUAACUACGUG